ACUGGGAAUUCUGGUUCCUGAGGGAAUGGGAAUGAAUUAUCCGCACUUUUUUGGGAGAUUGGAUCCAUCCAUCAUUCCCAGCUCCCUGGAGAAGGAGCAGUUUUAGUGGGCAGGGAAUCGUGGAGUGGUUUGGGAUAACAGGGAUGGGAAGAUCCCGUUCCAACCCCUGCCAGGCUCCAGGGGAGCUGGGAGAUUUCUCCCAGAAAUCUGGAGGGAUGGAGAUGAAUCCACUCUUGGAUCAUCCCGGUCUCCCUGGAUUCCUGGGAGAUCCAAUCCCAGAGCCAUGAGAGAACAGGAUCCCACACCUCCAAGAGGAGUUGGUCCAUAUCCAUCCGUGCCUCAGUUUCCCUCCCCUUUCCAGAGAAGUCUUGCACUGUUUCCUUUGGAAUGGGACAUGGCCCUGCUUGGAAAAGUGGGACAAACUGGGAUUCACUCAUGAAUUUUUCCCAAAUCUCUUUGGAUUCCGCAGGAAUUAAGGAACCAUGGAGGAAUCCACAGGACCAGUGACUCCUUCACAGAAAAUUCCUCGGAGAGCCGUGGCUGGUGGAUGUCCUGGAAUUCCGCAGGGCUGUGGUUCCUGAAAAACUCCGGAUGCUGGGUGGUGAUGGAAAAUGCAUCCAUCAGGGAGCCCUGGCCAGGAGGUCAAGGGAGACAAGGGGCUCCUCUUGGGAUCAACGGAUUUAACGACACUCCAACCCCAUCCAGAAAAAGAAGAAUUCCGUGUCUUCCUACAUCCCUUUGAUUCCCGGGGAAGCAUCUGGCCUGCAGGAACACGGACAGGCUGCAAAACUCCCUGGGAGUGUCGGAGCGUUUUAUGGAUUAUCCGGACAAUGGGAAUCAGGCGGCUUUCGGCACCUCGUAAAUCCCGAAUCCCGCGGGGCCGCCUCGCGCUGACACACUCGGAGCUGGAAAAGGGGGAAUUUUAAUGACGGGAUUGAUGGCACGGCACAGCCGCGGGAACACACGGAGCGAGUCCUGGGAUGAUCCCACGGCUUGGGCAGCAGGAAAAGGAAUUUCAGCUGGAUCCGAGCUCCUCUUCCGAGCCGCAUCCAGGGGUGCAAACAGCUGCUUUCCAGGGAUUCACAGCUGUCCUGGGAAUGGUUAUUCCAGAAAAUCAGAUGGAAGGAAAGGAUUAACACCUCGGAGCGUCUCACGGCAUGGAGAGGAAAAUCCGAGCUGGAAGAGGGAACACCAACCCCGGAAUCUGGGAGAGAGGAGGGAAUUUCGGUUUGUCCUGCCCUGGUUUUGGUGAUGGAAAGACUUCUCUGGGAUUGAUGGAGUUUUUUGGGAAUGCCAAGGAGAGCAGUUCCUACAUCCAUCAGGUUGCUCCAGCUUUCCUGGUACCCUGUUCCUUGUUAAAUAUAAAAUUUCAGGAAUUUUCCCCAGGAUUUUCUUGCUUUCCUCAUUCUGUCCUGAAAUCCCACCUGACCCGGAGGUCUGUAAGUUCCCAAAUCCCAGGAAAAUCCACGUUUGGGAACAGAUUCCUGCCCUCCAAGGAAAAAGCAGCCUCCUGGAUCCAGACACGAGCGAACGCCGGUAAAAUUCCAGUCCCAUGGGAUUGGUGGGAAGAACACACGGAAUUCCCAGGACCUUCUCCAGGAAUCUCAUGGAGCCCCAAACGUGUCUGGAGACGAGGCUGGAAUUUUUUUCCCUUGGAGCAGCAGCUCCUGGUCUGCUCUGACCCCGGCACCUUCUUGUU